rnacentral:tRNA from 5 species
GCGCUCGUAGCUCAGCUGGAUAGAGUACCUGGCUACGAACCAGGCGGUCAGAGGUUCGAAUCCUCUCGAGCGC